GAGACUCGACAGAAACUGCGUG
rnacentral:miRNA from 1 species